rnacentral:rRNA from 1 species
GACGAACGCUGGCGGCGUGCCUAACACGUGCAAGUCGGGCGAAUGAAGUUCCUUCGGGAAUGGAUUUAGCGGCGGACGGGUGAGUAACACGUGGGCAACCUGCCUCAUAGAGGGGAAUAGCCUUCCGAAAGGGAGAUUAAUACCGCAUAAGAUUGUAGUAUCGCAUGAUACAGCAAUUAAAGGAGCAAUCCGCUAUGAGAUGGGCCCGCGGCGCAUUAGCUAGUUGGUGAGGUAACGGCUCACCAAGGCGACGAUGCGUAGCCGACCUGAGAGGGUGAUCGGCCACAUUGGGACUGAGACACGGCCCAGACUCCUACGGGAGGCAGCAGUGGGGAAUAUUGCACAAUGGGGGAAACCCUGAUGCAGCAACGCCGCGUGAGUGAUGACGGCCUUCUGGUUGUAAAGCUCUGUCUUCAGGGACGAUAAUGACGGUACCUGAGGAGGAAGCCACGGCUAACUACGUG